rnacentral:rRNA from 2 species
AUACGACCAUAGGGUGUGGAAAACAGGGCUUCCCGUCCGCUCAGCCGUACUUAAGCCACACGCCGGGAGGUUAGUAGUUGGGUGGGUGACCACCAGCGAAUCCCUCCUGUUGUAU